rnacentral:rRNA from 1 species
GACGAACGCUGGCGGCGUGCCUAAUACAUGCAAGUAGAACGCUGAAGCUUGGUGCUUGCACCGAGCGGAUGAGUUGCGAACGGGUGAGUAACGCGUAGGUAACCUGCCUGGUAGCGGGGGAUAACUAUUGGAAACGAUAGCUAAUACCGCAUAAAAUGGAUUAUCGCAUGAUAAUCCAUUGAAAGGUGCAAAUGCAUCACUACCAGAUGGACCUGCGUUGUAUUAGCUAGUUGGUGGGGUAACGGCUCACCAAGGCGACGAUACAUAGCCGACCUGAGAGGGUGAUCGGCCACACUGGGACUGAGACACGGCCCAGACUCCUACGGGAGGCAGCAGUAGGGAAUCUUCGGCAAUGGACGGAAGUCUGACCGAGCAACGCCGCGUGAGUGAAGAAGGUUUUCGGAUCGUAAAGCUCUGUUGUAAGAGAAGAACGAGUGUGAGAGUGGAAAGUUCACACUGUGACGGUAUCUACCAGAA